UGGAAGCUGAGGGUUGGCUGGGAUCGUACCCUGCUGCUGUUCCCGUCUUGUGCCCGAAGAGCCUGCAGUGCUGUCUUCUGUCUUUAGAAGCCUCCUUCUUCCCAGCCAGCCCCAGGCACAGCCCUGCUGGGUGCUUUGCAUUUUGGAGGGAUGUGCUAGACUGUGACACAGACCAGGUAAGAGCCAAACCAGCAGCAGCAGAAACCCCACAGCACCGUCCCGCUCCAAACUUCUGUUGGCAGCAGCGGAGUUCCUGCUGCCUCUGCCUGUGACUGGGGGGAGCAGGAGGAUGCUUGUGCUGCGUUUGGCCCUAGGCUGGAUCCUGGCUGACAGACAGGCCCACCCCAACCUGCCAUGGAUGGGAACUGGGGUUUUUCCCCCAGUGACAGUGUUUGCAGGAGGGUGAUGGACCUGCGGCGUGUGUUCCCUGGCUGCUCUCAGUGCCUUGGUGUGUCUCUGCAGCCCCCUUCGUUUCCCAUUUGAGGAGCUGAAGGGACACCUUGGUAGCAGACUCGGUGGCAGCAGGUGAGCAUUGCCAGAACUGCAGCAGGGGAGCACAGCAAGGAGGAAUAAAGCCUUGCGGCCCUCCCUCUCCAUCAGUUUGUGCUCCUGUGGCUCAGCCCCAGCCCUGAGGAGCUGUGCUGGGAGGCGAUGGUUGGUGCAGCUCCAGAAGGGCUGAGGUUUGUGAGGGCUGUGUGGGGCUGGGCUGCAAAGCUUUUCCAGCCUCUCACCUGGCUGCCGUGGGAGUGGAGGUGACCUGCUCCUGAGGUCAUCAGGAUGAGUCCAGGCUUGGGCUGGCUGCGGGCUGAUCCCUCACGUUCCCCAGUGCCAUGGCAGGAGGGGAACCCUGUGGUCUGGUAGUGGGAUUCCUCCAGGCCCUCUCUGGUGGCUCAGAAGAGCCAUCCUUGCGUGGGAGAGGAUUGGCUGCUCCAUGGUCGGUGUCUCCCUGUCCGUGGACCAUUCCUUUUCAACACCUUUCAGUAUGCUUGUUAGAGUUUUGUGGGGUUUUUUUUAAUUUUUUGAAUGAUUCAAAUUAUUUUAGUUUAACGUGGAUUUAUUUUCCCUUUUGAGGAAACGUUCAGCCAGCUCGUUGGCAGCAGUUAGCUGUCCUGUUUGAAUUUUAGUAGUGGGUUUGGGGUUUUUUUUUUUUCCCCUUUGCUUUUUUAAUUUUUACUCUAACUGCUCAUUAUUUAUGCCUCUCUUUCUCCCAUCUCAGUUCAUCAUCUUCUGUUCCAGCCCUGGGGUUCAGCGGUCAGCAUAGCUGACCACAUGGCUCUUAGUUCCUCCCAGCUGUGACAGAGCUUUUUGGGUUUGGUUUUUUUUGUUCUUUUUUCUUUUUUUUUUUUUUGAAUGGCACACUGUAGCAAACCUCUGGGAAUUGAAUUCCUUCUCAAAUGAUUUUGUAUUUUAUAAAAUCCUAUUAGUAUGCACUGAGAGUGAACGCACUGUAAUGUCCCUGAACUGACCCUGGCGCCCGCGCUGACACUAAAGGAGGAGUUAACAGCUCACCCUGUGCAAAUAGGUGUGAAAUCUGCCACGCUCUGUGGCUGCGGAGAUGAGCGCCUGUUUCUCAUAUACCAUUGGCACACUUGGGGCUGCAAAAAUAGUAGAACCAGGCCUUACUUUCGUAAUCAGAUUCCGUUCUGUUUGUCGACAGACGCUCGUUGUGUUCCUUUCUUUCAUUACGUGAGUCGGUCGAGGACUGUUCACCUCUCUGAUCUCCAGCAUUCUGACUUCAAACAGCUGUACAAUCGUUUUGUUCUCUCUUCAGCAAGCAUAAAGGUCUCUCUGGCUACAGACCGCAGUGUCCACGCAUGUUUGCAGAGAACGAUCUGCAUGCAGGCAGUGCCUCACCGCACCGGUGAAGCUCGUGUUCACCCUCUCCCAGCAGUAGCCACCUACUGCAGCUGCCUUUUUUUCCUUGCUGCCCAUUAUGCGGGGCUUCGACUUUUCAUACUAUAAAAAAAAGAAGUGUAUUGUUUUUUUUUUUCUUGCCCACCAUGCUUUAAGUCUGAAUGGGAGAGAACUCUCAGCAGACGGCGGCUCCUGGCUGCGAGGUUGCAGAACUCUCAGAUGCGGAUGUGUUUUUCUGCCAUUGGCUGCACCGGUGCUCCGUGGGCGAAUAUGGAUCCAUCAGCCCCCCGGUCUGCGUACCGUAGUUCUCAUGUAGUGCAGAAUUAUCGAGGCAUGUGGCUUUCUUAAGGUACACUAUGUGUGCUUGCCUGGAUUACAAUACGAGACUGUCUUUUUUUAUCGCUUACUACUAGCUUACCAAUAACCUCUAUAAGUAACCUAACUCACAUCUUUGUCAUUCAGACCUUUUCUCCCCACCCCUUUAUUUAUCAAGCAUAAUAUUACAUGUUAAGGGACAGGAAAAUAGACCUUUGUAGAAUACAGCAGAACAGUGUUGCUAACAAUGUUUGAAAUGGGAAUUAGAACCUCUCUGAAAAACGCCAGCCAUGAGAAAUGACUUUGUUGGCACCGUGUUCAUGCGCAUGUAUUUUUUUCUAUUGUUUCCGCUUUUGUCAUGUUACAUCCAUAUCUGUAUUUAUAUCUUGUUUGUUUCACUUUUGAGUGUAUCAUGGCAAUUGUACAGAUGGUUUUUGUUAACAUUUACGUGAUAGAAUUUGCUAAAAAAAAAAAAAAAAUUAAAAUAAAACCUUUUGAGUUUGCCCUAGAGCAAGUGGGACGUGGGUUUGUUGGCAGGGAGGAGCAUUAAUGGAGGCACAUUAUCCGGCACAUCUCCCACUCCAGCAGCCUUUGCCUGUAAAGGAUUCGCUCUCCGUGUUGAAAAUGCAUGGAACCUUUAGGCAAAGGGCUGCUGCCACCUCGUGCAGAUGGACCUCCCGUGGUGUGUGCAGGAACAUGGACCAGACCACAGCUCUGGGAGUGGGGACUUGGCAUGUCUUGG
rnacentral:lncRNA from 1 species